rnacentral:rRNA from 1 species
AUGAAAUCACGGAAGCCUAUGGCUGGUCACGGUCAGCUGCGGGAAGCAGGGCACGACAAAGGGCCUGAACCCGCCGGAGUCGGGAUGAAGGCGAGCUCCGGCGACGGGACUUGGUGGCGGGGCUGGCCAGAACUGCUGCUGGUGGCGCCCGGCGUCCCUGGUGAAGCGGCGGCCGUGGACUUGGCUGAAGAGGACGGCUCGGGCAGGAGGCGCGAGCACAGGGACUUGGCUGGCGGGGCUCCUCAACGCCAGAAGCAGUGGGCGAUGGCGCUGGUCGCAGAGCAAGGCAAGGUCGAAGGAGCAGGAGAGGGCACACAGGCGAACUUGAUGACGAGGGCCCUGGUCGCGGGCGCGCGAGGAAGAGAAGAAGGAGGCCAUGGCAGGAGGCGCAGCGGGGCUCUCCGGCAGCUCGAGGCGAAGGUGAACGGCGGCGAGGAGGCCGACGGGCUCCGGCCUGGCUCCCUGGACCGAAGGAGGAGGGAGGAAGGCAGGGGCGCGCUGGUCGACAACGAGGGCGACGGGGAGGUCUGGUGGCGCGGCACCAAGGGCAACAAGGAGGAGGUCGGGCGCGGGGGUCUCGUGGUGGAGGCGGCGAGGGGAUCGGGCAUCGAGGGGAGCUCCUCUCCCUGUCCCGAUGCGCGCAUGGAAGAGAGUGGCGGCGGGAGGAGGAACGAGGAGGAGGGGUCGAGGGGAGAUGAGGAUCGGGGCCUAGGGUGCGGUCGGGCUAGGGUUAGGAGGGGUGUGGGCCUCCAGGAGCAAAUGGACCGGCCUGGUUGGGAGACCCAAGUGGCCAGCUAG